rnacentral:rRNA from 1 species
AGGGAUCAUUACCGAGUUUACAACUCCCAAACCCAAUGUGAACGUUACCAAUCUGUUGCCUCGGCGGGAUUCUCUGCCCCGGGCGCGUCGCAGCCCCGGAUCCCAUGGCGCCCGCCGGAGGACCAACUCAAACUCUUUUUUCUCUCCGUCGCGGCCUACGUCGCGGCUCUGUUUUAUUUUUGCUCUGAGCCUUUCUCGGCGACCCUAGCGGGCGUCUCGAAAAUGAAUCAAAACUUUCAACAACGGAUCUCUUGGUUCUGGCAUCGAUGAAGAACGCAGCGAAAUGCGAUAAGUAAUGUGAAUUGCAGAAUUCAGUGAAUCAUCGAAUCUUUGAACGCACAUUGCGCCCGCCAGUAUUCUGGCGGGCAUGCCUGUCCGAGCGUCAUUUCAACCCUCGAACCCCUCCGGGGGGUCGGCGUUGGGGAUCGGCCCCUCACCGGGCCGCCCCCGAAAUACAGUGGCGGUCUCGCCGCAGCCUCUCCUGCGCAGUAGUUUGCACACUCGCACCGGGAGCGCGGCGCGGCCACAGCCGUAAAACACCCCAAACUCUGAAAUGUUGACCUCGGAUCAGGUAGGAAUACCCGCUGAACUUAAGCAUAU